CAGUCGCCGCGGGAAAACCAGCACCUCGAGUGGUCAGGAGGUUUAUUGGGCCUAAAGCAUCCGUAGCCGGUUGCAUAAGUUUUCGGUUAAAUCUAUGCGCUUAACGUAUAGGCCGCCGAAAAUACUGUGCAGCUAGGGAGUGGGAGAGGUACACGGUACUCGAUAGGAAGGGGUAAAAUCCUUUGAUCUAUUGAUGACCACCUGUGGCGAAGGCGGUGUACCAGAACACGUUCGACGGUGAGGGAUGAAAGCUGGGGGAGCAAACCGGAUUAGAUACCCCUGUAGUCCCUGUCUCUUAUAC
rnacentral:rRNA from 1 species